GAUGGGCAGGUUCACGCCGAAGCUGGUGGAUAGGGUUCCUAGAAAAGCUCCAGGGUUUAAGGCAAGUCCCGUACCAAAACUGACACAGGUGGGCGAGGCGAAUAGCCUCAGGCGCUCGAGAGAACGGUCGUGAAGGAACUCAAUUUAACCCCGUAAGUUCGCGAUAAGGGGGGCCUCCUCCGCAAGGAGAGGCCGCAGAGAAAAGGGUCUGGGAACUGUUUAUCAAAAACACAGCUCUGUGCUAACUCGGAAGAGGAUGUAUACAGAGUGACGCUUGCUCAAUGCUGGAAUGUCACGGGAGCGGGUCAGCUCACGCGAAGCUCGCGACCUAAGCACCAGUGAAUAGCGGCCGUAACUAUGACGGUCCUAAGGUAGCGAAGUUCCUUGUCGGGUAAGUUCCGACGCGCAUGAAUAGCGUAAUCACUGGACUCCUGUCUCCACGACCGACUCGGUGAAAUAGUAGUGGCGGUGGAGAUGCCGUCUACCCGCAGCAAGACGGAAAGACCCCGUGGACCUUUACUAUACAUUGUCAUUGGUCACGAGCAUACACUGCGUAGGAUAAGUGGGAGGCUUCGAAGUCGGGGUUUCGGCCCUGAUGGAGCCAUUGGUGAAAUACCACUCUGUGCACGUUUGUGGCCUAACUUCGGUUCCCGUGAAUCCGGGCGAAGGACCGUGGCUGUCGGGUAGUUUGACUGGGGCGGUCUCCUCCAAAAAGGUAACGGAGGAGUGCAAAGUUCGGCUCAGCACGGAUGGAAACCGUGUGUCGAGUGUAAGAGCACAAGCCGGAUUUACUGCGAGACCGACGGGUCGAGCAGUCUCGAAAGAGGGCUCUAAUGAUCCUGCGAUCCCGUGUGGAAGGGUCGUAGCUCAUCGGAUAAAAGGUACCCCGGGGAUAACAGGCUGAUCGCGCCCGAGCGUCCAUAGCGGCGGCGCGGUUUGGCACCUCGAUGUCGGCUCAUCACAUCCUGGGACUGAAGGCGGCCCCAAGGGUUCGGCUGUUCGCCGAUUAAAGUGGUACGCGAGCUGGGUUCAGACCGGCGUGAGCCAGGUCGGUCCCUAUCUGCUGUGGGCGUUGCAAGCUUGAGAGGAGUCAACCUUAGUACGAGAGGAUUGGGUUGGACCAACCCCUGGUGAUCCAGUUGGACUGCUAAGUCCACAGCUGGGUAGCUACGUUGGGCAGGGAUAACCGCUGAAAGCAUCUAAGCGGGAAGCCCCCCUCAAGAUGAGGCUUGCUAGUCGAAAGACGUAAGACCCCUGGUAGACCACCAGGUUGAUCGGCCGCAAAUGUAAAAGCUGGAAGGCUUUCAGUUGAGCGGUACGA
rnacentral:rRNA from 1 species